rnacentral:rRNA from 1 species
UACGAACGCUGGCGGCGUGGAUAAGACAUGCAAGUCGAGCGCGACUUAUACCGUAGCAAUACGGUGUAAGUUGAGCGGCGCAAGGGUGCGUAACACGUGGGUAAUUUGCCGUGAAGUUGGGGAUAACUCGCUGAAAGGCGAGCUAAUACCGGAUGUGGUUAUUGGAUGGCAUCACCUGAUAACUAAAGCUGGGGAUCGUAAGACCUGGCGCUUCAUGAUAAGCCCGCGGCCUAUCAGCUAGUUGGUGAGGUAACGGCUCACCAAGGCGAAGACGGGUAGCUGGUCUGAGAGGACGACCAGCCACACAGGAACUGAGACACGGUCCAGACACCUACGGGUGGCAGCAGUCGAGAAUUUUCUCAAUGGGCGCAAGCCUGAAGGAGCGACGCCGCGUGGGGGAUGAAGGGUUUCGAUCCGUAAACCCCUGUCAUUCGUGAACAAUGCUUACCCAUGAAUAAUGGGUGAGUUGAUAGUAACGGAAGAGGAAGGGACGGCUAA